rnacentral:pre_miRNA from 1 species
UUAAUGCUAAUCGUGAUAGGGGUUGUUCUCUCCAAGACGCCUAGCAUGCUAGCAUUAUC